AUCAGGAUUUUGUUACAGUGUAUCAUUCGGCGGGGAAAGGUAUCAAUUUAUUUUUAAUUAUUAUUUUCUUUCUGGAAACCGAUUAAAUCUGGAGGAAUACCGUUACAGUCGAGCCUCGAAUGUGGAUGAACCUUUUAUGCAAAAUGACAAAUCGUGUCGCCAGAGAAUCUUUCCAAGACAUGGAUUCUUCAUCGCCCUCAACUUUCGACUCGGAGGAUUAUACUCCAACAGAUAAAAGGUGUAGGACAGUCGAAGAUUUUAAUAAAUUCUGCACGUUUGUCUUGGUUUAUGCUGGUUACAUUCCCUACCCUCAAGAAG